CCCGCCCCCUUUCGCUCUAUGGCUGUCACUGCCUGAGCCUGAAGCGGAUCAUGCUCGACUGCUUCCGGUCGGAGCAGCCAUGAAGUGGCUCCCCUGCAGUUGCAGUCGGUCCUACCUCCCUGGUGUUCUGCUGCUGUAUGUGUGUUUGGCGGGCUCUGCGCUGCAGAGUAAAGUCAUCAUUGAGGUUAAUGUGCUCUCAUAGUUUGGUUCCAUACUUCAAUGUUGGUAUUUCAUGUGCAGAAUCGCUACUGGUGGGGCUGUUCCAGCUCAGGACUCUGUGCCCUGGUUGGUCCCCCAAAGGGUUAAAUCGGUACUGACUACCAUUUUGUCAGCAAGACUACAGCUACAAAAUGGCUGCAGUGCUGGAAGACUUAGGGAACUGACCGUCGUGGUCGUGGGGGCAGUAGCAGUCUUAAUAGAGUCCAGACUUCAAGGUCUCCAGCCACCUCUUCCAGUUCUACCGCGAGGACACCAAGGUGUUCCCCAGGCCAGCUAUGAAACAUAAACCAAGGAACCCUUGCUGACUCAAAUCAGGACGUAUUCUCGAGGGACUUCAAAUCCGUUGGAUGAGCCAUCAAAGGAAAACGAUUCCAAAGGUCCAUGGAUGGUCAUGUGGGCGAUUACUUGAGUGUAAUGAGGGAACCCAUCACCGCACUCAGUGCAGAUAAAGGUACAUGCUUCUCCACCAAAUGGUGCCGAAGAGAAACUACUCAGUGAUUUCUGCCUUUCCAUGAUGAAAUGAUACGGCCCAUGGGCUGAAGGCAUCACUUUUCAAAAAUGAGACUGAGCAAAAUGUUCCAGACUGUGACAAAAACGGAUUUCCAUGGAGGGAUACAAGCAAAGCCUACGGUCCUUCAACAAACUUUGUCCAAAAAUGUAUCCUUCCAAAUUGCACGUUCACUUCCAUUUUCGUUUUUUUCAUGUUUUUACAGUAUCUGGAAGACAAAAACAAAAUACAAAUCAGUCACAUUUUGAAUAACUUUCAUGGUCAUGUCAUGUAAUAAUGUACAACACAUGUUUGAGGCGCUAUAAACAGUUGUACAGGAACAGGUGGGUCAUUUUUUUUGCAAAAAUUUCUUGGUCCAAGAACAACAAACCUGCAAUGUUUCUACUCAGCUGUCAUGAUUAAGCCAGUGUGCCGGUGCAAUAAUUUUGAUGCGGGAAUCAACAAGAAUCUCCAACAUCUUUUUCAAUGUAUUCACAGAGGAAUCUAUUCGGAAAGACUCUGAGGCGGUGACAAGGGAGUCUGUGAAA